rnacentral:rRNA from 1 species
AUUGAACGCUGGCGGCAUGCUUUACACAUGCAAGUCGAACGAGUGGCGCACGGGGGAGUAAUACAUCGGAACGUGUCCUAUCGUGGGGGAUAACUGAUCGAAAGAUCAGCUAAUACCGCAUACGAUUGGAGCGGCCGAUGCCCGAUUAGCUAGUUGGUGAGGUAAAGGCUCACCAAGGCGACGAUCGGUAGCUGGUCUGCGCGGACGACCAGCCACACUGGGAAUGAGACACGGCCAAGACUCUGACGGUAGGCAGCAGGGGGGAAUUGUGGACAAUGUGGGCAACCCUGAUCCAGCAAUGCCGCGUGCAGGAUGAAGGUCUUCGGAUUGUAAACUGCUUUUGUCAGGGAAGCGGUACCUGAAGAAUAAGCACCGGCUAACUACGUGCCAGCAGCGGCGGUAAUAC